AGGGACUGGGCGGGCCCGGCCCGGGGCCUGCCUAUCGCCUGAAAGAGAAAACCUGCCACGGAGCCCGGGCUUCUCUGAUCCUCCCGCCAAACGUUGUCUCUCGUUUAGCUUUCUUUGUGUCUGAGGAUUUAGCGAAGGCCUCAGAAAUUCAACAGAGUUGGAUUGCUGAGAAUAAAAUUAUGGAUUUCUCCAUAAUGGACACACACACUUUUUGUUUGUGCUGUUUCCUAUAGAAUGGAUGAUGAGUCAAAAUUGUUCGUUUAUGUUUUUUCACAGAAGGAUCUUCUGUGUCAUAGGCCCGCAGCAAUCUGGAUGUUCAGUGGUCCUCCUGUCAUUAAUAAGUGAACGGAUGAGCUAUUCUGAUAAGGACUGGGGAGCUUUCGCCAUUCAAGAGCAAAUAGGAGAACUGGGAGGAUUCCUCAACUUAGCUUUUCUUUUUUUGGUUGUAAAGUGACUGUGAACAGAGGUAGAAGAGAAGAAAAGCUUUUAAAAACAUCUUCCAUUAAGAAAAAUGUGUAUCUUCAUUAAGACCUAUCUGAGUAAAAUUACUAAAACAUAGUGGCUUUCUUGAGAUAGAAUGGAAUGAAAGGCGUAUUAGGGAGUAUGAGGGUAUGAAGAUUUUAUUAACAUACUUCUAGAAGUGUAUUAAAUGUCUGCACAGAAACUAUAAUUCGAGAUCAGUGGUGAAAAGAGAAUAAAGGAAUCACGUGGAUAUCAGCUCUGAGGCCUGUGGCGCCACUUGUUUCUGGACUUUCUAUAGACAUUUGCUGGUGACCUGCCCAGGCAGGCUGGAGUCCCCUUUCUCAUAGCAGCCUGUGCUCCCGUCCUCCCUCCUUCCCUUCCUUCCUUCCUUCCUUCCUCUUUCCUCCAUCAUCCCUUAUGAAACGCUCGUUGUGCAGUUACUAGGUGCUGUGUGAGCAUCUGUAGUCUCCCCUCACCCACUUUUCCAUUUGGGCCACUAGGCCGGCCAGUGAGUGCACCAGUACCAGGGUUCCAGGAGCCGUGCAUGGAUCCCCAGUGGGCAGAGCCGGCCAUAGCAUUUGGAAAGGAAGGGAGAGAACUGGAGACAAUGCCUAGGAACAAAAGCAGAGUCCAGACCCAGGCAUCAAGCGCAAAUCCAAAGGCUCUGGAUGAGUCAGUUCCCAGCAGAGGGACUGCAAGUAGGCACAGAAGGAAGGACAGCAGGAAGCACUCGUCCGGAGAGGGCCCGCAGAGCCGGAAGUGACGACACAUCCAAGGUUGUGCUUGACUUCUGCACUGUCUCUGCAACCUGUAAGUGCAUCUGAGCCAGUUCAGGAAGGAGGAAAUCCGAAGUAUAUCAGAAACAGCCUCUUAACAUCAAGGAGAUUUUGGUCUAGAUUGUUUAUUGCUCAGGAGAAGGCUCCACUUUUUAAAAAGAUAUGAUGAGAUAGGAUUUAGUUGGGAUAGAAAAGGUUAUUAAACCACGGGACACCCUUCCUUUACAGAGUGUAACCAUUACUACCCCUUUUGUUUGUCUGUUUUUCUUACUUUUCUCACAGAGGCAGUUCCUGCAUUAGUAUUGAUAAAUGUGUGCUCGCUCCACUUGGAGUGUCUUCAAAGCGUAAAUCACAGCAUUGAUGGUGCUGUGGUUUGGCUCUUCCAGCCCUCUUAACAACGGUCUGAUGGACUUGGCGAGAGUCUAGCCACGUGUCCUGGCUCCGUCACUCCCGUGGCUGAAACACGUGCACGCCCACGGAUGGGGACCCCGUGGUAGAGAGGUGCCUCUACUUGUCAAAUAGACGGAUUCCAAAUUCUGAAAUAUGCCUCAGGAAUAUAGAAACAUAGAAAAGGAGUCUUCAUCGCUGUAGGGUCUCAUUCACAACAUGGAGGAGGGAUGGAAGGGAGUUUUUGGUAUAAAUUAUGCCUCAUAAAAAUUCUCCACAUUAUUUUUGUACUGUACGAGGGUAGUAGGAAAUUAGUUGAUGGUUAACAAUCAAGCUGGAAAAGAAUAUCCUCAAUUUUUCACAUGAAAAAUGAAAAACUACAACUCCUUCCAAAUAUAUGUAUGUUUCUUUUCUGAAGAUAGACAUGUGUGUGUAUGUGUGUGUCAUACAGCAUUUAUUUUUUCUUUCUUCAUUAAUCAACAGUAAAAAUAUAGAAAAUGAUGCCAAAGAGAA